rnacentral:rRNA from 1 species
AAGACCUUGCACUUUUGGAGCGGCCGAUGUCUGAUUAGCUAGUUGGUGGGGUAAUGGCCUACCAAAGCUUCGAUCAGUAGCUGGUCUGAGAGGACGGCCAGCCACACUGGGACUGAGACACGGCCCAGACUCCUACGGGAGGCAGCAGUGGGGAAUUUUGGACAAUGGGCGCAAGCCUGAUCCAGCCAUGCCGCGUGAGUGAAGAAGGCCUUCGGGUUGUAAAGCUCUUUCAGCCGGGAAGAAAGGGUUGCGACUAAUAAUCGCAAUUCAUGACGGUACCGAAAGAAGAAGCACCGGCUAACUACGUGCCAGCAGCCGCGGUAAUACGUAGGGUGCGAGCGUUAAUCGGAAUUACUGGGCGUAAAGGGUGCGCAGGCGGUUUUGUAAGUCAGAUGUGAAAUCCCCGGGCUUAACCUGGGAACU